AUUUACUACUUUUUUCCUAGCCAUCCAGGCACGAAACAAUGUGAGCUAAAUAAGUAAUUCUUUAUAGGAUUUGGUAGGUUGUGUUUCAAAACAACGUCGUUAUACAUAUUUAGUGGUGAAAGGCCUCUCAUACAUUGUGAUAUCUUGUUGCGUAAUUUAAAUAUUUAGUAUUGCCUAGUCAGACUAAUAAAGCCAAGUUUUUUAGUGUACAUCUCGAAAAUUUCGCUAGCGCAUCAAAGUUUAACCACUAGUAAAUGAAAAUGACAAUAUUUAUCAUUUUACAUAAUGUUAUACCUUGCGCCCAAUAAACCCGUACCGAAGUUUACAAUGUAAGUAUGAGUACUUUAUUAUAUCUUUGUUAGGAACUCGGCAAAAGGCUGUUCGACUGUUUAUCAAAAACAUAACUAUAUGUUAUUAUAUAUAGCUAUUUCUGCUCCAUGGUGUAUUUAAAUAGCCGCAGUACCUUGACUGUGCAAAGGUAGCAUAAUCAAUUGGCUUAUAAUUAAAGUCUGGAAUGAACGAAUAAACGGGCAGCAACUGUCUUAGAGAGAUCAGAGGAAUUUAACAAUCAAGUGCAAAUGCUUGACGCUUUAAAAAAGACGAGAAGACCCUAGAAACUUAGUAUUUUGUUGGGGCGACAGAAUUACAACAAACUAAUUUUAUUGUACAUGAAGUAUAGAAGACAGAUAAAGUUACUCUAGGGAUAACAGCAUAAUUUACUAUAGUUUGUGACCUCGAUGUUGGACUAGGUACCAUAGUUUUUAGAAGAAACUAUUGGUUGCUCUGUUCGAGCAGUUUCACCUACAUGAUCUGAGUUCAGACCG
rnacentral:rRNA from 1 species